rnacentral:lncRNA from 1 species
CUUAAGUCAGUUUUUUGUCCUGCCUGGAAGGCCAAGGAGAGGAGCAGCAGUGCUGAGCAAUCCUGCCCAGAAGAAAGCUGUGUGUCAUGGGAAGGGCCUUCUGUCACGGCUUACAGUUCUUCUUUUCUGAAGCAAUUCUUUUUUUAGCACAGAGAACACUUUAACAUUACAGCCUGCAGAGAAAAUAACAUUCUCUUGCAGAGCAGCAAGUAGGUGAUGACUGUCUUUUGGGUUGCAAAACUACCGUGCAAGAUCUUGAUUACUUUAUUUGUGAAAUCCUCUUGAUGCCCUCUCUGCCUGCCUGAGGCAUUGUUACCAGCAUUUCUCUCCCAUCAGCGCUCCCCAGUAAUAAAGACAUGUCACGUGCACAGGCUUGUAUGGAAAUCUGGUGAGAGCCGCUGCCUUCACACAGACUCUGGGAGGAAAGGAAGCACGACUCUUCACAGUGCUGAGGGUCAAACCCUGCGCACUGGAAAACGUUCAUAUGAUGUUGCCUUCUCCAGAGCUUGCUGAACCAGGAUGAGACGCACUCAGCACUCCUCAGUGGAUGAUAAUUAUGUUUGAAUAUCGAACAUCCACGGUGGCUUCCUGAUUAACAGAGCACUUAGGCUUAUCCCUGUGCAGCAGGAGAGCCUUGAUUUCAGGCUGAUGCGGAGCACCUAAAUUCAGUCAUUUCCUAUGAGACGUGGCCUGUGGGACAGUCACAGAGGCAGGGGACCCAAUGCUGCUUGUCCCAAAGGGAUGCCAGCCUUGGUACUGCCACCGGGCAGCAGUGGGAUGAGACACCAAACACGCCUCGGCCAAGCAACGCAGCCAAGGGCAGACUUUCCUUCCUGCGGCAUGAUACAAAGCAAGACAAAUUGCAGAAAUCUUGGUGCCUCCUCCAACAGAAAUGCUGGCCUCUGCACGGCCAAACCUGCAUUGCACGAGGAACAUCGUCCCACCUACCCAUGGAUCUGCCUGGGAGUAAAAGGUGUACAUUGCAAGGCCAUCCACAGUAAGUGCCAUGGGACGAGCUGCAUUAUUUUCACCCAAAUAUUUCUUCUGGUAGAGCAAUUUGAUGAAGAAAGUAAUCCAAGCCUCCCCCUGCCAGUUUUGCAGCACACCAAGGAGUGGCCAAAGCCAAGGUUCAAAGCUGUGCUCAUGGAGGAAAAAAAGAUACAAGCAAGCAGUGACUGCCUUCAUUGUAUGGUUUAGUUUUGACUAAACUCAAGUCACUUUUAAAUUCUCAGACUUCAGGGGGCUUCUCUCUCACUUCUG